rnacentral:lncRNA from 1 species
GUGUUUUUGUUUUGGGGCUUUCUUGUUUUGUUUUGUUUUGCUUUUGCCUAGGAUUCUGAGAAAUAUAAGUUUUUACCAGUAAUUGGUGCAGAGAGUGUCUUUAUGCCUUUUGAACCUCCGGUGAGCUUCCUACCUCCGAAGAUCUAAAUAUCCUGCAGCUACUGGGAAGACAGUUGGAACAGAUGUUCUUGCUUCCUUUAGGACUAAGGCAAUGUUACAAUGUUACAAAUUUUAAUGAUGACCAGGACUCUUCUCUGGUUCAACCCUCAGUCUCCUUCUUCGCCCAGGGUGGGAACAGUGAGAUAGUUGGAGCCUCUCCUGUUAACUGGAAGGAACUGGGCGUUGCUGAACACAAAGCCAAAAACUUGACCUGGGCUGAGGAAUGGGAUCCGGGCAGCUGUGCCCCUCAGAGCAAGGCUGGCUGCCAGCUCUCAGGGCAUCUGGUGACUGGGGAGGAAUUCCUCUGCUUGGACAACAAGCUUUCUAUUCUGUUCACUGCCUCCUGCCCUGAUUCCUCACCUGCUGUUUCAGAGUGUUCUUCGGUUAACUCCACCUCUCACUGAAUUUUGCAAUUUGCUGUCAACUUAACCUUUCCCUGGCUCUGUCUGUUUGGAAUGGCGUUUCUCUGCAAAGUCGAAAGCCAACCAAGAUGAAGUUUUCUUUAACUCGCCCCCCUCCCUACUCCCGGGGUUCCUGGAGCUGACCCUUUUCUGACCUACCUACAGGGAAGGCUACAUCUGCCCACCAUGUAAGUGCCACUCAGCAACCCAGAAUUUUCAGUUUGGGCUGCUCAGAAUCACCUAGACUCUAGGUCCUAGAGGCUGGCGAAGGAGCCAGACACUCAUUACAGGAGCGCUUUGGUGCCAGCACGCAGCUGACCUCCCUCUGGGGCAGCCCCUGCGCUCCCCAGAGUAAUGAGUAGGUUUGGGCGAGUGUCUGCCCGUUUGUUCCAUCUCUCCUCCACACUUUUCUUUUUCCUUCAUGUCAGUAAUUUACCCCUCUUUGGGUGGAAUGCUUUUAUUUUAUCGCCUGCUCGAUAGGACCCAGGGUCCUGGGUACUCACUUUGUCCUUGAGCUGCUAGACCCCUAGCCUGACGUUUCUUUAUUUUUCUACCCAGUCUGGCCCUUGCUUCCCUCCUAGCAGCACCCUUUUUACCGGGGUUCAGAUAGAAGACUGUGGUACGGAUCACGGAAUAGUUUCUAGAUAGCUAAUCCAGGGAUAAGGGCGAUUCAAUUGUAUUCAGUGUCCCAUCCCCCAUCUAGCUUACUUCUUUAAAAAUUUAAAUUACAUUUUAACUAGUCUUUCCCUCCCUCUCCCCUCCCCCACCCCGUGUCUCUGUCUCUCUGUUGCAUGUGUGCAUGUGCACCAUAGCGCGCGCGCGCGCGUGUGUGUGUAUGUGUGUGUGUGUGUGUGUGUGUGUGUGUGUGUGUGUGUGUAGGUCAAAAGGCAGUUUUCAGGGUUUGAUUCUCUCCUUCUACCACGUGGGUUCCUUAGACCGGACUCAGGUGGCCAGGCUCCUUGGCUUGGUGCCAAUACUUAUGUCGUAGCCUCCACCCACUUUUUAACUGCAUUCGGUCUUGGUUGCCUCUGUUUGCCAGCUUGCUGUUGUGCCUCUUACCAGAUGAAGCCCUUUAUCUCCGCGUUUCAGGCCUCUCAGAUAGGUGGCUGUCCUCAAAAUGGCAGUUGAAAUCUGGGGCACAGGAAAGGUUUUCUUUUCCUUGAGAGUUCACUGAUCACCCCUAUCAGGCUUUUGGUUUGUGGGCAGGGAACUCACGCAAGUCAGGAAGCUUCCCAUGGGGCUGUGGGUGUAGCUCCGUGCCAGAACACUUGCUUAGUAAGUACAAGGUCAUGAGUUUAGUCCUGAGUAUUGCCAAAGCUGGGCAGUGACUCCCCAACUUCAAGGUCCAGCCUGGGCUACAUGGUGAGACAGUCUCAAACAAUAACAUAGAACACACAAAGAUUAUGGGCAAUUGCUUCCCUCCUGAGCGUUUUUUUUUUUUUUCCUUCCAGUACAGG